GCCCAGCCGGCCCUUAACCACUCCAACCAAAACCCAGGGCCUCGCGUCGUUUGAUGCGAUUCCGGCGGCGAUCGCGAGCGCCUCCACCACCACCCGCUCCCCCGUCCUAGCGUGCGUUCGGGCGAUCUCCCCUCUCGCGGCGGGCAUGGCUGGCGGCGGGGCGCGUGGGGGCUCCGACAGGGCGGGGGCGGCGCACUCGCCCACCACCACGACGGCGAUCCAGUCCACCAUCCAGUCGAUCAAGGAGGUCGUCGGAGGCCACUCCGACGCCGACAUCUUGGACACCCUCCGCGAGUCCAAUAUGGACCCCAACGAGACGGCGCAGAAGCUGCUCAACCAAGAUCCAUUCCACGAAGUGAAAAGAAAGAGGGACAAGAAGAAAGAGAGUUCUGGUCAGAAGAGCUAUGCUGAUAGUACUGCACAGGUUGAGCAGAACCCACAAUGGAUGAAGCCGCACGCACAAAGGAUUGAGAAUGAAAGAAGAGCUCCUAAUCAGGGUCAGAUGUCAGGCCCUAGUAGGGAAUUUCGGGUUGUGAGGGACAACCGAGUUCAACAUGGUACAGUGGAAAACAGACCAGAACCAGGAAACAAAGAUUCACCAAAUGUACAAACAUCUGAUAAGAGUUUUGUUCAGUCUGGUCGAAACCGUUCACCAGCUACAACUUCAGAUGGCCAGAUCACACAUCAAAAUGUUAAGCACAACUCCCACUCUGAUACACUUCAAGGGAAGAGGGAUGCUCAGGGUGCUACGCAGAAGCAUGCAAAGCCAUAUCUGAAGAACUCUCAGAACGAGCAGCACUUUCCAGGUUCUGACCCAGCCCAUGUGCCAUCCAAUGUGAGGAAUGCUGGUGGACCUGUUGGACCUGCUCGACGUCAAGUUGGUGUUAUUAAUUCCACUAGGCAACCUGCUGGCCGUUUGGGCUAUCAGAUGCAUGCACCGGGCAGUUCUUAUGCUAAUAAUCAGAGGGGGAAUUUUUCCUCAGUUGGGACAUCUGGGUGGCACCCAGCUUUUAUGUCUAGAAACAUUCAACAAAACCAGAGACCUGACAUCAUGUUCCGUGGAAGGCCUAUUGGUAGAUCUUUUGUUGCCCAAAACAUCAACAGGUAUCACCAGGGUGCUACUAGUAACCAAAAAGCUGUUCAUCCUAUUAAGGAGUGGAAGCCAAAAUCGACAAAGAAGUCAUCCACAACUGAUGCAGAUAACAGUGUAGCUGAUGCUGUUUCUCCUUCAGCUAGCAAUACUGAAAAUACUAAUGCAUCAGAUGUAAACGGCUUGUCUGAUAAAUUUUCGCAAUCUAACUUGCACGAGGUAGAACAUGUUAUCAUCCCGGAACAUCUUCGUGUGCCGGAAUAUGAGCAGACAAAGUUAAGGUUUGGCAGUUUUACAUCUGGUUUUGAUUCAGAACAAGUAUCGACCUCAACCUCUCCAGACUCUGAACAACCAGAACAUGUACAAGAACCGGUUCAUCAGGUUAGCGAAGAUGAUAGUUUGGGUGCUGGACAUGAUGAUGUGGAUGAGCAAGCCAGAUCUUCACAGCACCUCUCCACAUCAACGGCUGAGAUUUCCUUACCACCAUCCGAGGAUAGUGACAGAAUGAGUGGACAAGUAGAGAAUGAUGAUGGUCUGGGCUUAGUUCAGAGUGACACUCCAAUCGGUGCAGCAGAUGGAGAAAGUACCCAGAUCACCACAACUUUGACAGCUUUUUCUACAUAUAGUCAUGAAGAUCCUAAUAUGCAUUCAAAUAAUGAGGCACAGCUAUAUGGACUGGUGGAACCUAAUGUACAUCAGCAAGUAUUAGCUUCCUCUUCUCAGGGGUACCCUUCAGAAAACCCGGAAGCAGAUAAUGCUGUGCAAGUGUUCAGGAUGCCAGAUUCUAAUGUUCACUCACAAGUACUUCCUUCCACUUCUGAGGCACUAAAUCCUCAGAUGGUGAGCAACAGCCCUUUUGCAAUCUCUUCACAGCAGCAACAUAUGUCUCAGCAACAAGCUGCAGCACAGAUGUACCCUCAAAUGCAUGUGCAACAUUUUCCAAAUUUCAUACCAUACCGACAGCUAUAUUCUCCAGUUUAUCCUGUGCCUAUGCCAAACUACUCUUCAAAUGUCCCAUACCCAUCAAAUGGGAACAAUUAUCUUCAGAUGCCAGGUGGAGGCUCACAUUUAACUGCAGGAGGCAUGAAGUAUGGAGUUUCACAGUAUAAACCAGUCCCAACUGGUAACCCGUCUGGGUAUGGAAACUACACUCAUCCAGCUGGUUUUACAAUUGGUUCUCCUGGUGUUAUUGGUGCUGCAGUUGGUGUUGAUGAUGUCAAUAGGAUGAAGUACAAGGACAACAACAUUUAUGCCUCGACUCCACAGGUCGAGUCCUCUGACAUCUGGAUUCAGACAGCUAGAGAGAUUCCAACUAUGCAGGUUCCUCCGUACUACAACAUAUCAGGUCAAGCAACACCUGGUGCUUUUGUGCCAAAUCCAGCGAAUGCAUCUUUCAAUGCUACAGCCCAAUCUUCUCAUGCUCAGUUCCCAGGCAUGUACCAUCCCCAGCAACCUCCCUCUAUUGUAAGUCCGCACCCCAUGGUGCAUCAACAGGUGCCGUCAGCGAUUGGCCCCAAUGUUGGUGUUGGGGUGGCUGCUCCUGGCCCCCAAGUUGGGGCUUACCAGCAACCACAGCUCGGUCAUAUGAAUUGGAGACCCAGCUUUCAGCUGCAGGUGCAGGCUCUGGCUGCCGUCGAUGCUGUCCAUUUCGGGGACAGGGCGUGGAGCGGCGCACGGCAGGACGAGCAGCAGCACAACAACGACCACCAACACCCCAGCGCGAGUCAUCGACGCCUCACGCCCACGAGGCCCCGACUUCCCUUCCGGACAGCGGCGGCGGCGCAACCUUCUCCUCCGCCAUGGGAACGCGGGAGGUGUACGAGGAGAAGCUCCGCAGCGGCGCGCACCUCCACCGCGACCCCACCAUCAACCCCGGCCUCGGCUCGCCUCGCUGCCCGCGCUGCCUCUCGCUCCUCAACCCCACCGCCGGAGAGGGGGACUGGGCCAUCACCUCCGUCCUGCACGACGCCACCGCCGUGGCUGGUUCCGGCGCCGGCGCAUUGCUCAGCGCUGUGCACGGGUUUAACACAGGGAUCCCAUUUGUCCAGAAGCAUGUGAAGGGACCGAAGUGGCUCCAGCUGCUUGUUGGGGUGCCGCCACUGCUGCUGUUCUCAGGUGCCAGUGCUGUAUUUGGUGCAUAUGCACUUCCAAGGUUUGCUCAGCUCACGGUGACGUCUUACUACGCGGCAUCAAGUGGCUCUCACUAUGCAGUUUCACAGAUCACCCGGCAAAUCGAAAGCGCCCAUUUUUCAGAAUCUGAAGAGAAAUCUAGAUGAAUUCUUGGCCGUCAAUCUGCUCCAAUGGUGCCAUGUACAUGGUAUAUAAGUAGUUACGAACGAUUACUGCUGCUGUUGCAAGUCAAAUUAUGUUGGUGAAACUGUUGUCUUGGGUAACAUUGUGUUAGAAUUCGACUUUAUAUGCAGAGUAGUGAGGUGAACUAGUAAGAACACGCAGUGAAUUGUAAGGGGUACAUUAUUUGCAGUCAUCAAGAACAUGACCUGCACUGCGUGACUAUGAAAUAAACCAUGAAGCAGCAUUCAUGAAUACA